GAGAUCAGGAUCAUGUGUGUCCAGCUCUUUGUCUCUGAAGAGUGACCGGUCAAAAGAUCAUCCACCAGUGUUCAGUGGGGAAACACCAUCAUCUGCCAAACGUGAUGAAUAUGAGUUAGCAGAUUCAGGAGACGAGACUCACAGGAGACACAAGAGUUUCAAAGACAAUCUCCAGUUGAUCUUCCAGAAUCUUGAGAGUAAAAUGAUCAGAUUUCUA